GACGAACGCUGGCGGCAGGCUUAACACAUGCAAGUCGAGCGGGGUGAUGGUGCUUGCACUAUCACUUAGCGGCGGACGGGUGAGUAAUGCUUAGGAAUCUGCCUAUUAGUGGGGGACAACAUCUCGAAAGGGAUGCUAAUACCGCAUACGUCCUACGGGAGAAAGCAGGGGAUCACUUGUGACCUUGCGCUAAUAGAUGAGCCUAAGUCGGAUUAGCUAGUUGGUGGGGUAAAGGCCUACCAAGGCGACGAUCUGUAGCGGGUCUGAGAGGAUGAUCCGCCACACUGGGACUGAGAAACGGCCCAGACUCCUACGGGAGGCAGCAGUGGGGAAUAUUGGACAAUGGGGGGAACCCUGAUCCAGCCAUGCCGCGUGUGUGAAGAAGGCCUUAUGGUUGUAAAGCACUUUAAGCGAGGAGGAGGCUCUUUUGGUUAAUACCCAAGAUGAGUGGACGUUACUCGCAGAAUAAGCACCGGCUAACUCUGUGCCAGCCGCCGCCGUAA
rnacentral:rRNA from 1 species